AUAUGGAGUCAUAGGGGAAACACAUAAAAGGUGAAUGAGUCAGGCGUUCGCAUAGAAAAUUCGAAUGCAGCAACAGGAGAAUAGAAGGUGAAUAAGGCAAUAAUGUGAAUGGGUGAAUUCGUGAAUAGCCGAACAGUGUGAGGGAAUAACAGGAGAAAGAACAGUCGAAUGGGAGGAGGAGAAUGGGCGAAAAGGGCGCCAAAGUGACAGGCAGACCGGCAGUGUAAUGGAGGGAGAAAAGGAAGCCCUAGAGCUUAACAAGGAGGUACCAG